rnacentral:rRNA from 1 species
ACACAUGCAGUCGAGGGGUAACGAUGGUGCUUGCACCAGUCGACGACGGCGCACGGGUGAGUAACGCGUAUGCAUCUACCUUUAACUGGAGGAUAGCCCGAAGAAAUUCGGAUUAAUACUCCAUAGAAUUACAAUAUCGCCUGAUAUUGUACUUAAAGCAUUAGCGGUUAAAGAUGAGCAUGCGUGCCAUUAGUUAGUUGGUGAGGUAACGGCUCACCAAGGCAUCGAUGGCUAGGGGUUCUGAGAGGAUGAUCCCCCACACUGGUACUGAGACACGGACCAGACUCCUACGGGAGGCAGCAGUGAGGAAUAUUGGUCAAUGGGCGCAAGCCUGAACCAGCCAUGCCGCGUGCAGGAAGACUGCCCUAUGGGUUGUAAACUGCUUUUCUACAGGAAGAAACUUUGCGACGAGUCGUGAAUUGCCGGUACUGUAGGAAUAAGCAUCGGCCAACUCCGUGCCAGCAGCCGCGGUAAUACGGAGGAUGCAAGCGUUAUCCGGAUUCAUUGGGUUUAAAGGGUGCGUAGGCGGAAUAGUAAGUCAGUGGUGAAAGGCUGCAGCUUAACUGUAGAAUUGCCAUUGAUACCGUUAUUCUUGAGUGUAGUUGAGGUAGGCGGAAUGUGUAAUGUAGCGGUGAAAUGCUUAGAUGUUACACAGAACACCGAUUGCGUAGGCAGCUUACUAAACUAUAACUGACGCUGAGGCACGAAACCGUGGGGAGCG